rnacentral:lncRNA from 1 species
CUCAUUUUUUUGAUCAAGGUCAUAAUGGUAUGCAAGAUGUGAAAGUUAAAAUUAUUGAUAAAACUAAUGUUGCAUGUCCCACACAAAGAGAAGGUUUUUGGGCUUAUAAACUGAAUUCGUUUGAACCGCAUGGGUUGAAUUUAAAAGACUUUGUUUGAACAAUAGAGUUAAUCAAGCGAAUUAUUAUAAUUAGGUUAUGGACAGUUUAAAUAGUUGAAGUUGUUAUAUGAGCUCUGAU